UCACCUUCAAACAGCGCAGGUGCUGGCCACGCUUCGUGCUCCAUUGAGAAGUCUGUCUCCAAGAGCACAGGAUAUGCUGAAAGAAGAAUAAAGCAAUUAGUUUGUGAAAGAAGAUCUGGGAGGAUUUCAGGCAGUUCCAAACACAUGCAUUUCAUCAUUCCUUCAAAAGAGAAUAUCACCUGCUUACCUUCAAAUAGCGCAGGUGCUGGCCACCCUUCCUGCUCCAUUUGACAUGCCACCUGAGAGUCUGAAAAUUCAACAAAAGUUUAGUUGGGAAAGUGUAACCGUGGAAAUGUGUGGUGUGUGCUAUAAGCAUUUUCCAUUUGAACCCACCUUGAAUUUCAGCUCACCAGGAGAUGCUGUCUCUGGUGGAAAGCCACAGUUGUAGGGGCAGCCACAUCCGCAACCUGUCAAGAAGUGGAAAUGUUAUUUUUUGAGCAGGAGGAGCAGGAUCAUCACACUCAGAAGCUGCUCCAAAUAAAGUCAACGUGUUAUUUAAGAGAAAGGACUAUCGUAUUAAGGGAAGGCUACACUGAAAUGACCAUCCCCAUAAUAAACAGAAAAUUUUGGGGAAUGUGAUUUUUUUACUCAAGAGUUUUUAAAACUGAUUUCUGCGCAAUCAAUUUGGCCGCAGAAAUUUGGGGUAAUGUUCUCUGGAAUCAGAACGGCCCAAGGAACAAUAUUGCUUAAUCAGGAUUUUAAGAAAAACACCGGUUGCUGUUGCUGGCUGACCAGAGAGGGAACUGGCGAGAUCCAAGCUGGCCAAACAGACCUUCACAGUGGGAGCUGCACAGCUCCAAAUCUGAGCAGAGAGGAUCUGCAGGAUCUGCAUAAAUGGCUAAAAGGUCCUCCCUUAAGUCCUUGAUGGACAGAAAGUCUCUGAGCAAUUUCCAGAAGGGGGGUCUCUUGUUGGGAGACAUGCUGUUGAACUUUCGGUUGAAGCUCUCCAACCCGGAUGUUGCUUUAAUCUCGUGGCCAUGGACGGACAGCUCUUCGACGCCAACUUUAACUAUCCACUCCUUGCGGAAGUAUUUCUGAAAUUUGCGGAAUUUCUUCAACUCAGAUCCCCUCAGAUCUUUCUUCGCCUUGGCCUCGAGCAGCUGCACUCCCUUCAAGAUAUCUGUAAGGUUCUGAGACUGCCUGGCACAAAGGAAGGUCUGAGGGAAGAGAAGUCUGAAUGGUCUGCUUAUUUAAAAUAAAUAUUCAAGCUCACCCUGACGAAGUGCCAUAUGCAUCCAGUCAUCUCAGCGUUAGGAAAUGCCUUCCUGAAGGCAUUUCUUUGGGCUGGUUCCCAAUCGGAGAUGACCUUUGCCGGCGGAGCCAAGCCCUUUUCCUUCAGGAAUUCCAGAACUGCAGCAUAAGCGGGCUCAUCCAUGGCACUCAUGAGGGCCAUUGCCACUGGAAAAACCUAAAUCACAUGAAAACCAACAUGCAGUGAAAGUAAUUUGAAGCUGAAUGGACAUGGAAUGUUCCAUUUGUAAGGGAAUUCACCUCCCAGUUGACGUACCUUGCCAUGCUUAAAAGCUGACAGAAUCCAUAUUUGCUUGACGCCAUCGAUGUCUGGCGCCAUAUAAAAUGUGCCAUCGCCCGCCAGCGUGUCCUGCCUCGACAACAUUUCCAGGCCUCUUUUGGAGCAAAAGAUGACACUCUCCCUCCCUGGGCUGCCCACCACCCCUUGAAAAUAGUUCUGCAGAUCAUCAAUAGUUCUUCCUAAAACCAAAAAACAUGCUACAGUAAAUAAAAUAUAACUUUCCAUUUGUUACAGUCUCAACAACUAGUAAUUACCCAAGUAAGCAUGUUCUGGGGUGUUGAGAACAUUUCCCACAUGGCUGAGGCUGGUCAUUUUGCCUUGAGGAAGAUUCCUUCUCCUGCGAUAGCCCACCGCAUCCCGAAUGGACGCAAAGCAGACAUCGUUUUUUGUGGCCUCGUCAAGACUAUAAGAUUAAAAUUCAUAUUGAAGAGUCGUUGGCCUUGGUAGGAAGAGAUGGCUUCAAAGAGGUCAUCUAGACCCUCCUCCUCCUCUGGUUGAUGCAUGAUGACUGAGCAGCAAUCGGUCCAUGGACAGGUGCUUUCGCGCCACUUUGCGGCCCCCCCCCCUCCCCCCCUUUAUUUCUUCCCGCCGGAAGUGGCGGAAGUGGGACGACGCCAUGGUGAUGUUGACAAACAGCUGAUCAGCUGGGGUUAAUAUUGUGUGAAAGGAGUGGAGUUUAAAAACAAAAGGUCAAAACUGCCAGAUUGAUGUGAAGUUUUAUAUAGACCACAGCUAACCCAUGCCAAAGUGAGAAUUGGUGUCAAGUAGUGUGAAUGAAUGACACCUUCAUGAAUGUGGGUGUGACACUGUUUCUAGAUCUGGAAGAUUACCAGUGUGGCUGUUUGUGUUGAAUCUCUCACAAAGUGUUACGGAUCUCAACUCAUCUCCAGAACUAGAUCCCCAGCAAAAUCAGACUUUCGAAGCUGGAUGCCUUCGUUUUGAUGGCUGGGCUAUCUGGGAAUGUGGGAUCUCAUUUCCAGAGCAAAUUCAUGGAUUCCUUAGAGAGUAAAACACAAAGGCAAGAUAGAGGAAAAUCUUCCACUACACCACUGUUCCAUCACCUCUACCCUGCAAGGGGUGCUUUUAGAUAUUUGAAGGUCAAAACCAGUUUUACCUACAACAUCCUUCAUAAAUUGGAAAUGUUGAAAAAAGUACGCCAUCAAUCAAACCCUCUGAAGGAGUCUUUCACAUCACAACUCAUGAAGUUGGUGAGCCAUGCGCCUGAUGGCUCCGAGCGCAUAGGCAUCCCGCCCGCAGACCUGCAUGCAGGCUAGCACACCCCUUCGCUCGGACGGGGCUGGACGCCCACCCUGUGGGGGGGCUCACAGGCAUCUAUCAGCGUCACGGGCGUGCUGCUCUCGACGUAGACGUGCACCUCGAGCGCUGCUCUCACGCCCGUCUACUUCAUGAACCAGUCGACAGGGUCCAGUGGUGCGCGAGCAGCGGUUGCACCGUGGUUUGGACGUACGAAGGAAAGACCUCUGACGACCCGGAUGCCACCAUGGACUCUAGAAGCAGUGUCUUUGAUCAGUGGCUUGUUUUCCUUUUAAUUAUAUGGGGUCACUACUGAAUUGGAUUCAAAUAUAAGUAAAGUCUGUCAAAGAACUUUACUUCUAGAGUCGAUUUGAAUUAUGAGAGCUAGCAGCUCAAUAAGCAAAGGCGGAAAGAGGCUGCAUGAUAUGGAUGAUAUUGAAGACACCCACAAUGGAAGAGAAAUAGUUGUGAGAGGAAAAAGAAAGUCAAAGGUAACUGAAUCUACCACUAAAAGAAUGAGGCAAGAUGAGAUUAUACCACGAGCAAUGAUAAAGAAAAUAGCAAUGUAUUACAGGAGUCAAAACUUAAAGCUUCUUUAAUCCAAAGAUAGGAGAAGUUCAAGUAAUUCCUAAACAAUCUCAUAUCAAGAUGGCAAUAAAUUUUGAUGAAAUAUCUUGGUUUUGAUGUUGCUCAACAACAAUCUCAUAUCAAGGUGAAGAAUUGCAUAUUGAAACCCAACAAAGUCUUGCCUUCACUGAGUGCUCAUCGCUUGCCUUCAACUAUUCUGAUGCUGAGGUAGUAUGUGUUCUGAAUGAUUUAUUUUUAUUCAAUCAACGGAACAUAUAGUUUGUCAACUGGCUCUAGCUUAUAUUAUUUACUUUGCUUACUUCGGUAUUAUAAAAUGUACUUUCUGUACCGCUAGGCUAGGUGUUGUAGUUAUUUGAUAAUACAAGCGUUGAUAUUCAGUAAAUUUAGUGCAGCAAAAUGUUAAGCCAAUAACUAACUUACCCUAAAUAAGUCAAUCAGGAAGCUUCAAUUGUUUUUGACAUCCAGUGCACACUUCACUUGUGAACUCUUUUCUUUCUGGGUUCACCUUCAUCAUCGAUAAUAGUUAUUGUCAAAUGUAAAAUGUUCAUAUGUUCUUGAAUGCAUAUCAAAAGAUAAUUCUGAAAAAAUGUAAAUUUUAGGUACAAAUACUAGUUAUUACAAUAUACUGUCAUCCUGAAUUUGAUGCCCCAGGUACUUAUUUUACAUAAAACUUGAAACAUUUUUCAACAUUGUUUGCCUAUGCCUAACUUCAGGUGACUCUGCUUGUAUCCCAAUUUUCAAAAGUCUUAGACAGGAGCAUUGCAUUGAAACAGUGACAAUUCAAAUCCAAGGUACUCCCGUCAGUGUAUUUUUUAUAGUUCAAAUUUUAACUAACACCAUGUGUGUUUUAGUAAAAUUUAAAAUUCAUCUCUUUACAAACAUUUCAGUUAAAAUUUGGUCUCGGAUAACUAAAAUGUAUCCCGUUAUUAUUCCUGUUCUGUGUUUUAUCUGGUGUGGAUUUAUCUUUAAAGUCUUAGGGUCCUAAUUGCUCUGUAAAAAUGUAACACAACUUACUUUUAUUUUUGAAUUAAGACAUCUUCAGCAAAAAUGCUUGGCUAAUCAUGGAAAGUCAACACUUUCUUCUGAACAAUAAAGAAAUUUGUAACUUUAAAAGUAAAGUCUUCAGGAUUCUGUACACCUAUUUCGAUUGGAUUUUGUGUAUAAACACAGUC